rnacentral:rRNA from 1 species
GUCUUCGGAUGCUGACGAGUGGCGAACGGGUGAGUAAUACAUCGGAACGUGCCCGAGAGUGGGGGAUAACGAAGCGAAAGCUUUGCUAAUACCGCAUACGAUCUCGGGAUGAAAGCAGGGGACCGCAAGGCCUUGCGCUCACGGAGCGGCCGAUGGCAGAUUAGGUAGUUGGUGGGAUAAAAGCUUACCAAGCCGACGAUCUGUAGCUGGUCUGAGAGGACGACCAGCCACACUGGGACUGAGACACGGCCCAGACUCCUACGGGAGGCAGCAGUGGGGAAUUUUGGACAAUGGGCGCAAGCCUGAUCCAGCCAUGCCGCGUGCAGGAUGAAGGCCUUCGGGUUGUAAACUGCUUUUGUACGGAACGAAAAGACUCUGGUUAAUACCUGGGGUCCAUGACGGUACCGUAAGAAUAAGCACCGGCUAACUACGUGCCAGCAGCCGCGGUAAUACGUAGGGUGCGAGCGUUAAUCGGAAUUACUGGGCGUAAAGCGUGCGCAGGCGGUUAUGUAAGACAGAUGUGAAAUCCCCGGGCUCAACCUGGGAACUGCAUCUGUGACUGCAUAGCUAGAGUACGGCAGAGGGGGAUGGAAUUCCGCGUGUAGCAGUGAAUGCGUAGAUAUGCGGAGGAACACCGAUGGCGA